rnacentral:rRNA from 1 species
CCUACGGGUGGCAGCAGUAGGGAAUAUUGCUCAAUGGGGGAAACCCUGAAGCAGCAACGCCGCGUGGAGGAUGAAGGUUUUCGGAUUGUAAACUCCUUUUGUUAGAGAAGAUAAUGACGGUAUCUAACGAAUAAGCACCGGCUAACUCCGUGCCAGCAGCCGCGGUAAUACGGAGGGUGCAAGCGUUAUUCGGAAUCACUGGGCGUAAAGGGCGCGUAGGCGGGAUAGCAAGUCAGAUGUGAAAUCCUAUGGCUUAACCAUAGAACUGCAUUUGAAACUGUUAUUCUAGAGUAUGGGAGAGGUAGGUGGAAUUCGUGGUGUAGGGGUAAAAUCCGUAGAGAUCAAGAGGAAUACUCAUUGCGAAGGCGACCUGCUAGAACAUAACUGACGCUGAUGCGCGAAAGCGUGGGGAUCGAACAGGAUUAGAUACCCCUGUAGUC